rnacentral:rRNA from 1 species
GACGAACGCUGGCGGCGUGCCUAAUACAUGCAAGUCGAACGGUCUUUUCUAUGGAAGCUUGCUUCCGCUGAGAAGAUAGUGGCGAACGGGUGAGUAACACGUGGGUAACCUGCCCAUAAGAGGGGGAUAACAUCCGGAAACGGGUGCUAAUACCGCAUAGUUUUCUUGAUCGCAUGAUUGAGAAAGGAAAGACGGCCUUUGUGCUGUCGCUUAUGGAUGGACCCGCGGCGUAUUAGUUAGUUGGUGAGGUAACGGCUCACCAAGACGAUGAUACGUAGCCGACCUGAGAGGGUGAUCGGCCACAUUGGGGCUGAGACACGGCCCAAACUCCUACGGGAGGCAGCAGUAGGGAAUCUUCCGCAAUGGACGAAAGUCUGACGGAGCAACGCCGCGUGAGUGAAGAAGGUUUUCGGAUCGUAAAACUCUGUUGUCAGAGAAGAACAAGUCGGAGAGUAACUGCUCCGGCCUUGACGGUAUCCGACCAGAAAGCCACGGCUAACUACGUGCCAGCCGCCGCGGUAAAAC